rnacentral:rRNA from 1 species
UGCAGGAUGACGGUCCUAUGGAUUGUAAACUGCUUUUGUACGGGAAGAAACACUCCUUCGUGAAGGAGCUUGACGGUACCGUAAGAAUAAGGAUCGGCUAACUCCGUGCCAGCAGCCGCGGUAAUACGGAGGAUCCAAGCGUUAUCCGGAAUCAUUGGGUUUAAAGGGUCCGUAGGCGGUCUUGUAAGUCAGUGGUGAAAGCCCAUCGCUCAACGGUGGAACGGCCAUUGAUACUGCAGGACUUGAAUUAUUGGGAAGUAACUAGGAUAUGUAGUGUAGCGGUGAAAUGCUUAGAGAUUACAUGGAAUACCAAUUGCGAAGGCAGGUUACUACCAAUUGAUUGACGCUGAUGGACGAAAGCGUGGGUAGCGAACAGGAUUAGAUACCCUGGUAGUCCACGCCGUAAACGA